AUCUAUAGCCGCUUUUCCACAGCAUGGUGCCGGCUCGACUCGACUUGACUCUACUCGCUUUUGGUACCAGGUACUUCGUUUUCCACUGCAGACAGUACCCCCGUCAAUGUAGCUGGUCGUCAUAGCGACGCCGCAUGAAACUGGCGUGACGUCAUCUUCAACGCGACGCACACAGGAACGACGGAGGAUAUCGAAGGGACGGUGUUCUUGAUUCUCGGUAUGUGGCUGUUUGUCGCAGCAAGGAGACAAAUUUUGUUUCAGAAGAGGCUGAAGGCAGCAAGACAAAAGACUGCUGAAAAAAAACAGGAGAGUUUGGGAAAUCCUACAUCAGAGCUCAGACGACGAGACGACUCUGGUUGCUCAAAGGCGACGAUUCUAGUGACGAUUCUCUCUGACCAAUCAGCGGUCUGCAGUGUUUUCACGUCACCUUUUGGUAUCGCCUCAGCUCGCUUGGAACCUCAACGGAGGUGAUACCAAAAAAACACGUAACCGUCCAGACCCACGGCGCAACUCACUUCCGC